rnacentral:rRNA from 1 species
AUUGAACGCUGGCGGCAGGCCUAACACAUGCAAGUCGAGCGGAUGAGUGGAGCUUGCUCCAUGAUUCAGCGGCGGACGGGUGAGUAAUGCCUAGGAAUCUGCCUGGUAGUGGGGGACAACGUUUCGAAAGGAACGCUAAUACCGCAUACGUCCUACGGGAGAAAGUGGGGGAUCUUCGGACCUCACGCUAUCAGAUGAGCCUAGGUCGGAUUAGCUAGUUGGUGAGGUAAAGGCUCACCAAGGCGACGAUCCGUAACUGGUCUGAGAGGAUGAUCAGUCACACUGGAACUGAGACACGGUCCAGACUCCUACGGGAGGCAGCAGUGGGGAAUAUUGGACAAUGGGCGAAAGCCUGAUCCAGCCAUGCCGCGUGUGUGAAGAAGGUCUUCGGAUUGUAAAGCACUUUAAGUUGGGAGGAAGGGCAGUAAGCGAAUACCUUGCUGUUUUGACGUUACCGACAGAAUAAGCACCGGCUAACUCUGUGCCAGCCGCCGCAGUAAUAC